rnacentral:lncRNA from 1 species
CUUUCAUAUUCCCGCAAUAAUUUCAAAGUUUAGUCAUGUCAUUUCCAUUCUGUUUGGAUUGUUCUUCCAGAUGCAACUUCAAGAAAGACACUGCCAAGUCCUGUUUCGAGAUUCUUUCUAUGUUAUAUACCCCAAGAUGCUGACGCGAGAGAUUACGUUACCACAAGUUACUUGAAAUCUUUACUAAAUUCUUCCAUAGAUACAACGAUCUGGUUUGGCUGUAC